rnacentral:rRNA from 1 species
GACGUAGGGCGCGAGCGUUGUCCGGAUUUAUUGGGCGUAAAGAGCUCGUAGGCGGCUCAUUGCGUCAACCGUGAAAUCCUGCUGCUCAACGGCAGGUCUGCGGUUGAUACGGGUGGGCUGGAGUUCGGUAGGGGAGACUGGAAUUCCUGGUGUAGCGGCGAAAUGCGCAGAUAUCAGGAGGAACACCGGUGGCGAAGGCGGGUCUCUGGGCCGAUACUGACGCUGAGGAGCGAAAGCGUGGGGAGCGAACAGG